rnacentral:rRNA from 1 species
GAUGAACGCUGGCGGCGUGCCUAAUACAUGCAAGUCGAGCGAAUGGAUUAAGAGCUUGCUCUUAUGAAGUUAGCGGCGGACGGGUGAGUAACACGUGGGUAACCUGCCCAUAAGACUGGGAUAACUCCGGGAAACCGGGGCUAAUACCGGAUAACAUUUUGAACCGCAUGGUUCGAAAUUGAAAGGCGGCUUCGGCUGUCACUUAUGGAUGGACCCGCGUCGCAUUAGCUAGUUGGUGAGGUAACGGCUCACCAAGGCAACGAUGCGUAGCCGACCUGAGAGGGUGAUCGGCACACUGGGACUGAGACACGGCCCAGACUCCUACGGGAGGCAGCAGUAGGGAAUCUUCCGCAAUGGACGAAAGUCUGACGGAGCAACGCCGCGUGAGUGAUGAAGGCUUUCGGGUCGUAAAACUCUGUUGUUAGGGAAGAACAAGUGCUGGUUGAAUAAGCUGACACCUUGACGGUACCUAACCAGAAAGCCACGGCUAACUACGUGCCAGCCGCCGCCGUAA